AAUGCUUCCCUCAAAGCACACAGGGCUUGGCUUGGAAUAGUUGCAUCUUAGUUGGGCCAGAAAGAAUGUGCAAAUGUGCAAAUGGCUGGUCAACUAUCUGGGUGAUUUUCGGCAAGACAGAGGACCUACUGAUGCAUUGAAAGGGCAAAAGGCAGGAGAGGAUUGCCUGCUGCAGAUGACAAAGAAGAUUCAUGGAAAAAAUGAAAGGACAUUUGUGGAAGACUGAGCCCCACCAAACACGAUCCACUAGAUACAGUACUCAAUGACAACCUGGGAAAUGAGGCUGAGACACUCUUCCUGUGCCACUGGAAGGAUGGAAAACAAACCAAAUAUCUUGGAAUAAGAGCUGGUUUCCUGCAGAAUAAUAAUAAAAAAAGGCAGCUAUGCUGAAACCUAGAACA
rnacentral:lncRNA from 1 species